CUCAAGAGGAACAAGGUAUUAUAUUUCUGAGCUCGCAACAAUGACGAGAUCGUGAGCCAAAAACAGAAAUGCCCUCAUGAGAAUAAGAAAAACUCGCAAGUCAGAAGCUUAACCAGACUCCGAACUCUUAGCCCGGAUCGGUUCGACCAGUAAAGACCCAGUAGAGCCGGCCUGGUCAUUAGUGGAGCCUAAGUAUUUACCCCUUCACCAGUUAUGGAAUAACUGCUGAGGAGGUAAAGGG
rnacentral:lncRNA from 1 species